GACGAACGCUGGCGGCGUGCCUAAUACAUGCGAGUCGAGCGGAGUUAUUCCUUCGGGGAUAACUUAGCGGCGGACGGGUGAGUAACACGUAGGCAACCUGCCUGUAAGAUCGGGAUAACUACCGGAAACGGUAGCUAAGACCGGAUAAUCAGCUGGAUCGCAUGAUUCGGCUGGGAAAAGCGGAGCAAUCUGCUGCUUACAGAUGGGCCUGCGGCGCAUUAGCUUGUUGGUGGGGUAACGGCUCACCAAGGCGACGAUCGGUAGCCGGCCUGGGAGGGCGGACGGCCACACUGGGACUGAGACACGGCCCAGACUCCUACGGGAGGCAGCAGUAGGGAAUUGUUCGCAAUGGGCGCAAGCCUGACGACGCAACGCCGCGUGGAGGAUGAAGAUCUUCGGGUCGUAAACUCCUUUCGAUUGGGACGAAUUCCUCGGGGGUGAACAAUCUCCGGGGGUGACGGUACCGAGAGAAGAAGCCCCGGCUAACUCCGUGCCAGCAGCCGCCGCCGUAA
rnacentral:rRNA from 1 species